rnacentral:miRNA from 1 species
CGUGGAGAUUAAUAUAAACA